rnacentral:rRNA from 1 species
UACAGAGGGUGCGAGCGUUGUCCGGAAUCACUGGGCGUAAAGGGCGCGUAGGUGGCGCGACAAGUCAGUGGUGAAAGCUCGACGCUCAACGUCGAGUCGGCCACUGAUACUGUUGGGCUUGAGCACUGUAGAGGCUAAUGGAAUUCCCGGUGUAGUGGUGGAAUGCGUAGAUAUCGGGAGGAACACCAGUGGCGAAGGCGGUUGCCUGGAGCUUUGCUGACGCUGAGGCGCGAAAGCGUGGGGAGCAAACAGGG